AAGUCGUAACAAGGUUUCCGUAGGUGAACCUGCGGAAGGAUCAUUAAAGAAUUGGCUUCGCGGCCAAGUUCUCACCCUUUGUAUACCGAAACUAUGUUGCUUGGCCGGCCCUUCAUUCGCGGCGCAGAGGUUAUAAACCCUAGAAUCUGCUGCUGUCUGAGUACUAUGCAAUAGUUAAAA
rnacentral:misc_RNA from 1 species